rfam:Xenopus tropicalis strain Nigerian Chr03_contig_2004, whole genome shotgun sequence.
UUCUGUGUAUGGCACUGGUAGAAUUCACUGUGAAAACACAAAAUCAGUGAAUUACCAUAGGGCCAUAAACAGAG